rnacentral:rRNA from 1 species
GAUGAACGCUGGCGGCGUGCCUAAUACAUGCCAGUCGAGCGAACAGACGAGGAGCUUGCUCCUCUGACGUUAGCGGCGGACGGGUGAGUAACACGUGGAUAACCUACCUAUAAGACUGGGAUAACUUCGGGAAACCGGAGCUAAUACCGGAUAAUAUAUUGAACCGCAUGGUUCAAUAGUGAAAGACGGUUUUGCUGUCACUUAUAUAUGGAUCCGCGCCGCAUUAGCUAGUUGGUAAGGUAACGGCUUACCAAGGCGACGAUGCGUAGCCGACCUGAGAGAGUGAUCGGCCACACUGGAACUGAGACACGGUCCAGACUCCUACGGGAGGCAGCAGUAGGGAAUCUUCCGCGAUGGGCGAAAGCCUGACGGAGCAACGCCGCGUGAGUGAUGAAGGUCUUCGGAUCGUAAAACUCUGUUAUUAGGGAAGAACAAAUGUGUAAGUAACUAUGCACGUCUUGACGGUACCUAAUCAGAAAGCCACGGCUAACUACGUG